rnacentral:rRNA from 1 species
AUCAUUCAUAAUAAGUGUUUUAUGGCACUUUUUUAAAUCCAUAUCCACCUUGUGUGCAAUGUCAGGGUUGAUUUUUCUCUCGAGGAGGAUCAACCCCAAACAUCAACUAUAUCUCAACUCUUUGUCUGAAAAAUAUUAUGAAUAAAACAAUUCAAAAUACAACUUUCAACAACGGAUCUCUUGGCUCUCGCAUCGAUGAAGAACGCAGCGAAAUGCGAUACGUAAUGUGAAUUGCAGAAUUCAGUGAAUCAUCGAAUCUUUGAACGCAUAUUGCGCUCUUUGGUAUUCCGAAGAGCAUGCUUGUUUGAGUAUCAGUAACACCUCAAAGCCUUUUUUUUUAUUAAAAAAGAUUUUGGACUUGAGCAAUCCCAACACUUUUUCUUAAAGUGGCGGGUUGCUUGAAAUGCAGGUGCAGCUGGACAUUCUCCUGAGCUAAAAGCAUAUUCAUUUAGUCCCGUCAAACGGAUUAUUACUUUUGCUGCAGCUAAUAUAAAGGGAGUUUGACCAUUUUGGCUGACUGAUGCAGGAAUUUCACAAGAGUCUUUCAACCUCUCUUGUUAAACUCG